rnacentral:rRNA from 1 species
UACGGAGGGUGCGAGCGUUGUCCGGAAUCAUUGGGCGUAAAGGGCGCGUAGGUGGCCCGGUCAGUCUUUGGUGAAAGCGCGGGGCUCAACCCUGCGUCGGCCAGGGAUACUGCCGCGGCUGGAGCACUGUAGAGGCAGGCGGAAUUCCGGGUGUAGCGGUGGAAUGCGUAGAGAUCGGGAAGAACAUCGGUGGCGAAGGCGGUCUGCUGGGCCGUUGCUGACACUGAGGCGCGACAGCGUGGGGAGCAAACAGG